rnacentral:rRNA from 1 species
GUUUGAUCCUGGCUCAGGAUGAACGCUAGCGGCAGGCUUAACACAUGCAAGUCGAGGGGUAGAGGAAGCUUGCUUCCUUGAGACCGGCGCACGGGUGCGUAACGCGUAUGCAACCUACCUUUUACAGAGGGAUAGCCCAGAGAAAUUUGGAUUAAUACCUCAUGGUAUAUAUCAUUCGCAUGUUUGAUAUAUUAAAGUUCCAACGGUAAAAGAUGGGCAUGCGUCCUAUUAGCUAGAUGGUAAGGUAACGGCUUACCAUGGCAACGAUAGGUAGGGGUCCUGAGAGGGAGAUCCCCCACACUGGUACUGAGACACGGACCAGACUCCUACGGGAGGCAGCAGUGAGGAAUAUUGGACAAUGGGCGCAAGCCUGAUCCAGCCAUGCCGCGUGCAGGAAGAAGCAUCUAUGGUGUGUAAACUGCUUUUGUACGGGAAGAAACACUCCUUCGUGAAGGAGCUUGACGGUACCGUAAGAAUAAGGAUCGGCUAACUCCGUGCCAGCAGCCGCGGUAAUACGGAGGAUCCAAGCGUUAUCCGGAAUCAUUGGGUUUAAAGGGUCCGUAGGCGGUUUGGUAAGUCAGUGGUGAAAGCCCGCAGCUCAACUGUGGAACGGCCAUUGAUACUGCCAGACUUGAAUUACAAGGAAGUAACUAGAAUAUGUAGUGUAGCGGUGAAAUGCUUAGAUAUUACAUGGAAUACCAAUUGCGAAGGCAGGUUACUACUUGUGGAUUGACGCUGAUGGACGAAAGCGUGGGGAGCGAACAGGAUUAGAUACCCUGGUAGUCCACGCCGUAAACGAUG